UGAACCUGGUUCUUUAGACUCCAACAAAUGAAGGAGCACCUAUUAAGUUUCUGAGACAUUAGUGCUCUCAGAAGUCUAUUACUAUGUUAAAAAUUUUGGUAUAUACCAAAAUCAGUACGUUCUCUCCCUUCAGUUUCUGUUAACAACAAUGCCUGCUGCUUUGUGAAAUAAUGUUACCUAUGUCUGGCUGACAUGCAGAAACUUGUACUUCUCCUCUGUUUUUCCUCUCCAGUGAUCAGGCUCAUAGCUGGAAGGAGCUUGCCUUGAGUCUCAAAUAAGACUUUGGACUUGAAACGUUUGAGUUUUUGCUGUAACAGUUACUUUAGAUUUUCAAGGAGCUCAUCUGGAGUGACCGUGCAGGUCACAGAGGUUAACAUGGCAUUCAUGGGGCAGUCAGUUGGCCUAAAAGACCUUACAUACUGCUUGUCUACUAUGCUGUGA
rnacentral:lncRNA from 1 species